rnacentral:rRNA from 1 species
GAUGAACGCUAGCGGGAGGCUUAAUACAUGCAAGUCGAGGGGCAGCAGGGACAAAUUUCGGUUUGUUCGCUGGCGACCGGCGCACGGGUGAGUAACGCGUACGCAACUUACCUCCAAGAAGGGAAUAGCCCCGGGAAACUGGGAUUAAUGUCCUAUGUGCUUUUCGGAUCGCAUGAUCUGAUUAGUAAAGCUACGGUGCUUGGAGAUAGGCGUGCGUGCUAUUAGCUAGUUGGUGAGGUAACGGCUCACCAAGGCUACGAUAGCUAGGGGGCGUGAGAGCGUGGCCCCCCACACGGGUACUGAGACACGGACCCGACUCCUACGGGAGGCAGCAGUAAGGAAUAUUGGACAAUGGGCGAGAGCCUGAUCCAGCCAUGCCGCGUGCAGGAAGACGGCCCUAUGGGUUGUAAACUGCUUUUGUACGGGAAGAAACACCCCCUCGUGAGGGGGCUUGACGGUACCGUAAGAAUAAGGAUCGGCUAACUCCGUGCCAGCAGCCGCGGUAAUGUCGU